GACGAACGCUGGCGGCGUGCUUAACACAUGCAAGUCGAACGGAAAGGCCCUGCUUUUGUGGGGUGCUCGAGUGGCGAACGGGUGAGUAACACGUGAGUAACCUGCCCUUGACUUUGGGAUAACUUCAGGAAACUGGGGCUAAUACCGGAUAGGAGCUCCUGCUGCAUGGUGGGGGUUGGAAAGUUUCGGCGGUUGGGGAUGGACUCGCGGCUUAUCAGCUUGUUGGUGGGGUAGUGGCUUACCAAGGCUUUGACGGGUAGCCGGCCUGAGAGGGUGACCGGCGACAUGGGGACUGAGAGACGGCCCAGACUCAGAAGGGAGGAAGCGGGGGGGAGUAGUGCACAGUGGGUGGGAGCCUGAUGCAGCAACGCCGCGUGCGGGAUGACGGCCUUCGGGUUGGAAAACGCUUGCGCCGGUGACGAAGGGGGAGUGAAGGGAAGGGGUAAAGAAGCACCGGCUAACUACGUG
rnacentral:rRNA from 1 species